rnacentral:rRNA from 1 species
AUUGAACGCUGGCGGAAUGCUUUACACAUGCAAGUCGAACGGCAGCACGGACUUCGGUCUGGUGGCGAGUGGCGAACGGGUGAGUAAUGUAUCGGAACGUGCCCAGUCGUGGGGGAUAACGUAGUGAAAAUUACGCUAAUACCGCAUACGAUCGAUGGAUGAAAGCGGGGGAUCGCAAGACCUCGCGCGAUUGGAGCGGCCGGUAUCAGAUUAGGUAGUGUGUGGGGUAACAGCUCACCAAGGCAACGAUCAGUAGCCGGUCUGAGAGGAUGCACGGCCACACUGGGACUGAGACACGGCCCAGACUCCUACGGGAGGCAGCAGUGGGGAAUUUUGGACAAUGGACGCAAGUCUGAUCCAGCCAUUCCGCGUGCAGGAUGAAGGCCCUCGGGUUGUAAACUGCUUUUGUACGGAACGAAAAGGUUUCUCUUAAUACGGGGGGCUCAUGACGGUACCGUAAGAAUAAGCACCGGCUAACUACGUGCCAGCCGCCGCCGUAA